GCAGCACACAUAUUAAAAUUGGAAGGACACAGAGAAGAUUACCAUGGCACCUGCUCAAGGAUGACAUGCAAAUCUGUGCAGUGUUUCAUAUUUUG
rnacentral:snRNA from 1 species